rnacentral:lncRNA from 1 species
CGGGUGCUGGUGCAGCUGGUGCUGGUGCUUCUUCUGGUGCUGCUGAAGAUGAUGAUGAUGAUGAUGAUGCUACCGGUUCUGAAGCCGGUAGUGAAUAGGGUUAUGAGUCCUUGGAGGGCUAAGUUUGUUUUAUUUUUCAUAUUAUGUUUUAUUUUUAUUGUAUUUUCAGAUUUGUUGUAUUUUUAUUUUGGUUAUGUACUUUUGGGGUGUUUUGU